rnacentral:rRNA from 1 species
AGUUUGUAACACCCGAAGUCGGUGAGGUAACCGUAAGGAGCCAGCCGCCUAAGGUGGGAUAGAUGAUUGGGGUGAAGUCGUAACAAGGUAGCCGUAUCGGAAGGUGCGGCUGGAUCACCUCCUUUCUA